ensembl:lncRNA
CUUUUCUUUAGUAAUGUAGUCUUGCGGGGUGAGUAUAAGCAGUGGAGUGCCUAUUGUUUUCUCUGUGACAAUGGCACCUGCUGCCUCUAAGUGUUUCUGGAGCUCUUUCCGUGUGUUCCUUGGCUCUUGGGCUACUUUUCUGACUAUUCUUCUGACUCCCUGGUCAGAAAUCUUGCUAGGAGCUCCUGUGCGUGGCCGGUUGAUGACGGAGUGAUGUUGCUUCCACUUGCGGAUAAUGGCCCCAAUGGUGCCUACUGGAGAAUUCAUCCAUCCAUCCAUCCAUAUUCUACCGCUUACUUCUUCUUCAGGGUCACAGGGGAACCUGGUGCCAAUCCCAGGGAGCAUCGGGCACAAGGCGGGGUACAACCUGGACAGAGUACUGGAGGAUUCAGAAGUUUUGAAAUACGUCUGUAUCCGAUUCCAUUAAUAUGUUUUGCAACAAUAAGGCUGCGAAGGUCUUGGGAGAGCUCUUUGCUUUUACCCAUCAUGGAUGUUUCUUGUGUGAAACCAUGGUAACGAAAAGCCUUUUUAUAGACCAUCAAUUUACUAACCCCGCUGAUAUUAAUUUGCACAGAUAGGGGGUAUAAUUACUUAUGGAUUUCAGCUGGUUCCUUGCCUUACCUUGCCUUGGAGAACUGCUUUUCCUGUGUCUUUCCACUUUAUUACACAUAACUUUAUUUAUGGAUUUUAAUGUUGUGAAUUCUAUAUAUUUCCAUAUUUCUUGAGCUAAUAUUGAUGUCUGGUGAAAAUUUCAUGUGAAUAACCUCAUUGGAAAUAUAUUUACUGAAAAAAAUGUUGACCCGUCCAAUACUUAUUUCCCCCACUGUAAGUGCGUGUGUCUUUCAGAUUCAUUCCUUAUCCAUUUAUCUCUGUGAUGUGCCAGAAGUUGACCUAUGCCUUAAUUCUUGAUCAGAUGAGCAUGACUCAAUAGAUGUUCUUCUUUAGGUGUGGCAAAUAGAAAGAAGCCAGAAAAGGCUGAGCAGCCCAAGCAAAAGACGACUUCUUCCUUUUCUGAAGUGGACCUGAAUUACGGGAGAUCUUUCUCAGAUUGCAUCAGUCUGGCUGACAUAAACCGUAGGGGGUGCAGGCAUCUAAACCGCAGCUCAAAGCAUCACUGAAUGAGACAUAUCACAAAUCCAUGAGACUACUGUAGCUGGGGUGUGGGUAGGAUGGAUUUUUAAAAGCACUUUACACUGUGUCUCAUUCACCCAUUCACACUCAUGGUACCAGAGCUGCCAUGCAAGGGGCUAACUUGCCAUUGGGAGCAACCUGGGGUUCAGUGUCUUACCCAAGGACACUUCGGCACGUGGAGUCACGUGGGAUUAGUGGACAACCCGCUCUACCACCUGAGCCACAGCCGCCAAUUAACCUCUUAAACUUAAGAAAUGUAAAGGGAGAGAGUUGAAGUUGGGGGCAGCUGUAAUUACAAAGUUAAUUAGUUAACUUUGACAAAAAAUGUGACAUGAGACAUUGAGAUUAUAUGCAUUCAUUGUGCUUAAAUGUGUACACUACUUAUGUCAUUCAUUCCUUCAUUCAUUUAUCUUCAGCAGCCACUAUUCUGGUCAACAUACAUUCACGCAUUCAUUCAUACCUAGGGGAAAUUUAGUAUAGUCAAUCCACCAAGUAGCAGUUUGUCAGAGCUGAAACUGGGAGAAAACCCACAGAGACACAAGGAGAACAUGCAAAAAUCCACACAGACAGUAACUGGAGUUCAGAAUCGAACUGUGGAUCCUGGAACUGUGAAAUGCAACCUACCCACUGUGCCAGGAUAUCACCCUUAUUUUAUGUUGUGUUAUGUCAUGUCACGCUACGUUAAGUUGCAUUAUGUUACAUUACAUUACAUUAUAUUAUGUUAUGUUAUUUGUGAAUAUGUAAAUGUAAUGGAUUUCAACAUAUGCUUCAUUCAAGCAUGCAAAAAAAACACAAAAGGGUGGAUGAAGUUGCGUUUUUUGACGGACAUGAGUCAUAGGCCUUACAAAGCUAGAGCGGAAUGAAAUCUUGGUUAAAAGAGAAGUAGAUCUCUUCCGUGAGAUGGAUAACGAAAAAUGCUCCAUGCAGCACCUCCAGUGUGAAUUGGCUUUAAGGUUUGUAAUCCAGUAAAUACAUAGAAAACAUACAAAAUGAUUAAGCUAAUGUGAUAUUAUAAGCGUGAGGAGUGAUAGACCAGGAGAUUAAACCUUAAAAUGCUAAUUUAUAUAAAAAGGAAUUUUUCUUAAAUGUAUCAAGUUUCAAGCUUUUCAUGUGAAUAGACAACAUGAUUUGGAUAAAACAACAAGUCUACUGAAAGCAGUUCAAUAAUCACAUAUCAAAAUGGGGCUUGUAUGAUGUGAAAGGAGAAACUUUAAUAAAGAUGACUGUGUCAGAGUUCACUUCCUUAGCAGGCUCAGCACCCAAAAGGAAGCUAAACCAAUAGGCUGAACUCUGGUAAUCUGGGAAUUUUUUAAAUAGUAAAUGCAGAAUGCACACAUUUGCAGGUUCAGGUUUUCUAAAGGGAAUCAAUACUGAAAGUACUUUAGCCAUACACUUUUUGUUGUAACUCCUAAAUUCCUAUUUGUGUAUAAUUCCCCUUUGGUUCUAGAUCCCUAGAUUUGCCUAUGUUAUAUACACUAAAUGUGUAUGGACACCUGACUAUCACACAUACAAUACGUGGGUCUUCCCCAAAAUGGUGCCACAAAGGUGGACACACAAUUAUCUAGAAUGUCUUUCUAUCCUGUAGAAUUACAGCUUCCCCUCAGUUACACUAAGGGACCCAAACAUGUUCCAGCAAUGCCCUGUGCACAAAACAAGGCUCAUAAAGAUAUAGUUUGCCAAGGUUGAUGUGGAAAAACUCAAGUGGCCUGACAUCAACCCUACUGAACACCUCUGGGAUGAACUGGCAUGCCAAAUUUACAUCAGGCCUCCUUGCCCAAUAUCAUCUCCUGACCUCACUAAUGCUCUUGUGUCUGAAUGAGCAAAUACCCAUAGGCAUGUACCAAAGUCUACUGGAAACCUUCCCAGAAGAGUAGACGUUAUUAUAACAGCAAAGUAGUAGACUAAAUCUGGAAUGGGAUGUUCAAAAAGCACAUAUGAUGAUUUUUACUUUACUUUACUUAUGUAGAGUUCACCAAGCAUGCCAUUUUGAACCCAUUCACACUGAAUACAUUUAUAUUUGUAGUCUAACACACAUCUGAUUGACUGGAGUGAAAUCUGAUUGCUGUAUUGCACC